AGCUGGGUGAAGGCCUAGCUGGAGAGCUGGAGGAAUCACAGGGGGUUCAGCAAGAGAGGAUGUUGCAUAAUUCUCGUUGGAGAGAGGAGGAGAACUUCAAAG